UAAUAAGUGUUUUAUGGCACUUUUUAAAUCCAUAUCCACCUUGUGUGCAAUGUCAGUCGAUCUUCUUCACGGAGAUCGACCAAACAUCAACCUUUAUUUUUAACUCUUUGUCUGAAAAAUAUUAUGAAUAAACAAUUCAAAAUA
rnacentral:misc_RNA from 1 species